rnacentral:rRNA from 1 species
UACGGAGGGGACUAGCGUUGUUCGGAAUUACUGGGCGUAAAGCGCACGUAGGCGGAUUUGUAAGUCAGGGGUGAAGUCCCGGGGCUCAACCUCGGAACUGCCUUUGAUACUGCAAAUCUCGAGUCCGGAAGAGGUGAGUGGAAUUCCUAGUGUAGAAGGUGAAUUCGUAGAUAUUAGGAAGAACACCAGUGGCGAAGGCGGCUCACUGGUCCGGUACUGACGCUGAGGUGCGAAAGCGUGGGGAGCAAACAGG